rnacentral:rRNA from 1 species
UGAGUACGAGAUGCUACGGCAUCGAAGCAGUCUAUGUCAUACUUCCAAGAAAAGCUUGCACUGUCAUAAACAAAGAAUGCCUGUACCAUAACCGACACAGGUGGGUAGGUAGAGUAUACUAAGGGGCGCGAGAUAACUCUCUCUAAGGAACUCGGCAAAAUGACUCCGUAACUUCGGGAGAAGGAGUGCCUUAUUUCUAAGGUUGCAAUAACAAGAUCCAAGCAACUGUUUACCAAAAACACAGGUCUCCGCUAAGUCGUAAGACGAUGUAUGGGGGCUGACGCCUGCCCAGUGCCAGAAGGUUAAAGAAGUUGGUUAGCAUUAGCGAAGCUGAUAACUGAAGCCCUGGUGAACGGCGGCCGUAACGAUAACGGUCCUAAGGUAGCGAAAUUCCUUGUCGGGUAAGUUCCGACCCGCACGUAAGGCGUAAUGAUUUGGAUACUGUCUCGGAGAGGGGCUCGGUGAAAUAGACUUGUCUGUGAAGAUGCGGACUACCUGCACCUGGACAGAAAGACCCUAUGAAGCUUUACUGUAACUUGAGAUUGAAAUUGGACUUUAUUUGCGCAGUAUAGGUGGGAGGCGUUGAGAAUAAUCUUGCGGGAUUGUUGGAGCCAUCAGUGAGAUACCACUCUUGUAAUGUUAGAUUUCUAACUUUGUAUCAUUAUCUGGUCAAAGAACAGUUUCAGGCGGGCAGUUUGACUGGGGCGGUCGCCUCCCAAAGGGUAACGGAGGCGCACAAAGGUUUCCUCUGAACGGGUAGAAAUCGUAUCUAGAGUGUAAAGGCAUAAGGAAGCUUGACUGUGAGACCUACAAGUCGAGCAGGGACGAAAGUCGGUCUUAGUGAUCUGACGGUGCUGAGUGGAAAGGCCGUCACUCAACGGAUAAAAGUUACUCUAAGGAUAACAGGCUGAUCUCCCCCAAGAGUUCACAUCGACGGGGAGGUUUGGCACCUCGAUGUCGGCUCAUCGCAUCCUGGGGCGGUAGUCCGUCCCAAGGGUUGGGCUGUUCGCCCAUGAAAGCGGUACGCGAGCUGGGUUCAGAACGUCGUGAGACAGUUCGGUCCAUAUCCGGUGUAGGCGUUAGAAUAUUGAGAGGAGCCUUCUCUAGUACGAGAGGACCGAGAAGGACAUACCUCUGGUGUACCAGUUAUCGUGCCAACGGUAAACGCUGGGUAGCUAUGUAUGGAGUGGAUAACCGCUGAAAGCAUCUAAGUGGGAAGCCCACCUCAAGAUGAGUGCUCUCACAGGGUUAACCUGGUAAGGUCACGGGAAGAC